rnacentral:lncRNA from 1 species
GGGAGGUGGAUGUCUCGCCCAAAAGACUUCGGCUCGUGCUUGGUAUAGUGCACCAGUGCGCGUAGUGCCAGUGUUUUUACUUGUUAGUCCUUGAGAAGUCCCCCGAGAUAGGUCAGAAGUUGCGAUGGAAGACGACUCAAAUUGCCCUGUUGAGGAACAGGUAUCUGUUAGUGAUAACAGGUCAUGACGACACAGUAAAAGGAAACGACAUUGGGUCAUGAAUGGAUUGGUUAUGAUAUUGAUGUUGUGAUGGAAUAUGUUAUAUGUUUAUAUUACUCUAUGAUUAAAAUGAAUUAUGCUUUAUUGUGUGUUAUGAUAUUUCUGGUUGCUCACCCUGAAAGUUGUGGUUGUGGUUUCCACCUACGGUGAUCGUACUUGUACGGGAGUAGAUGGCAUUGCAGAUAAAACUGGACAGAAGUAGCUGACGUGAGAGUUGGGACAUUUGAGUUCGGGGGUUUAUUAUUUAGUUUAAAAGUUUUCCAGUUUAAUAUUUUUAUGUAAAAGUGAGAUUCUAAGAUUUUCAAACGAUGUUUAUAGUCAUGAUUUAAUUCCGCCUUUGAAUUGAAUGUAUUAUAGAAAGGUUUUGAAAAAAAAAAAAUGUCACCGUGACAUUUCGAAAAACCGGGGUGUUACAGCAUGUGCCUUCCAAAUCAUAUGAAACCGUGCCUCCUCCCUUUCCAUGCAACAAAAACGUAACUCACACACACCAAGACUCCAAAUUGCCAAGCCACACAAUUGUUGGGUGCAAAGAAUGCUUCUAAAA